AAUAUUAAGUUCCUGAGCCUUUUUCUUCUGCAUUAUUAUUUUCUUCUUGAUUCUUUUUUGGGGAGGCUGAGGGAGAAGAGGAAAACUUGAUCUGGCGGGACUCCCAGCCGUGAACAGCAUGCCAUGCAGGCCCAGCGUCAGAAGUUCCUGAAUCUCGUGGAGUGCAUUCGUCUCCUCUGACAGCAAUACCAGAGGCUUGCUAGGUCCUUUCCCCACAUGGAAACAAAGACUCUCAACCUCUGCUAGCCAGAGCCCAGAAAGCACCCCUCCCUGCCUUCCGCCCUAUUUUCUGUAGCAGCUUCCCCAACAGGCAGCCCCUGGCCUGCGGGCCUGGACGAAGGGGAGAAUGGGAUCUCUCCAGUGGGGAUCGGUGUGUCAUGGCUCCCUACUAGAACACAAGCUUUCUGAGGGCAGCACCAUUUCUCAUUCAUCCUUUUAGCUUUUACACUUUUAAAUGCCUAAACUGUGGGAAAGGGAAGAUAGACUUUAGGAAGACAAGCCCCGUAAGGGGGAAUGACACACACACACACACAGCCCCGAGAAUCCCAUCCUCCAUUCGUCCAGGCCCGGUCUCCAGGGUCUAUCCCCCCGCCAGACAGCGGCCAACUGUCUGUCCAGACAAUCCAGCCCAGGCCUCCUUGGCCAGACCUAACCACCAGGCCGCUCCCUGCUUGGGCGCCUGGCCUUGCCUUUGAAAACCCAGGAACGCCUCUGCACAGCAGGGAGGCGUAGGGGUGAGACUGAGGGGGGGUGGGCAGACAGACUAAGAAGGCUAGGACUCCACAGCUUUGGCAGCACUGAGGACGCAAGCUUAAGGCACACUGACUGUGACGGCGCGGGCUUCGGGAGGGGUUGUGGGACUGAGCCGGAUGAGAAAGCUGGGGGGAAGAGCAAAGCACUGAGAAAAGGAAGGGCACCAGAGACCCCGUGCACUGCAGGUGAAUAGCUGGGGUCCCAGGGGUCGCGGAGAUGCGCCAGCCUCGUGUUUCGGGGAGGAGGAAAGCGGAGGGACUGGCCCAAGGCCACCCAGGCAGGGAAGAUGCCGGCUGUCCCCCACACUAGACCCCUCGCUGGGGCUCAGCUUUCCACCAGAUUCCCCCCCAGAAACCAAGGAUGUGGCCGCAGCCCCUCCAGACCUGGGUUGUCAGAAGCUCCCUCCCAGCUGGGACAUUCUAUGGCCCGAGAUUCCUCCCCGCUCUAACAUCCUGUGUUCUAAGGUUCCCCCCAGCUCGGACAUCCUGUGUUCUAGGGUGCCCCCCAGCUCGGACAUCCUGUGUUCUAGGGUUCCCCCCAGCUCGGACAUCCUGUGCUCUAAAGUCUCUCCCAGCUCGGACAUUCUGUGCUCUAAGGUCGAUUUCAGCUCAGACAUUCUACAUCCUAAGGUGGCUUCCAGCUCUGCUAUUCUGCGCCCUAAGGACACCCCGAGUUCAGACAUUCGAUGUCCUAAGGUCCCCCCCAACUCGGACAUUCUGUAUCCCAGGGUCACCCCCAGCUCGGCCAUCUUAUGUCCCAAGGUCCUUCCCAACUCAGACAUCCUCCGUCCUAAGGUCCCUCCCAGCCCCAACAUUCUGUGUCCUAAGAUAGCCCCCAAAUGGGACAUUCUGACUCCAAAAGUCACUCCCAAUUCAGACAUCCUCCGUCCUAAGGUCACUCCCAGCUGCGACAUUCUAAGUUCUAAGACCAUUCCCAGCUGCGACAUCCUAUGCCCUAGGGUUCCAUCCAGCUCUGGCAUUCUUCGCCCCAAGAUAGCUCCCAGCUCGGACACUCUGUGUCCAAAGGUGGCUCCCAGCUCGGCCAUUCUGUGCUCUAGGGUCCCUCCCAGCUCGGCCAUUCUGUGUUCUAAGGCCCCGCCCAGCUCGGACAUCCUCUGUUCUAAAGUCACUCCCAGCUUGGACAUCCUCUGUCUCAAGGUCCCUCCCAGCUCCAACAUUCUGCGUUCUAAGGUGGCUCCCAGCUGAGCCAUUCGCCGACCCAGAGUUCCUCCCAAUCCCGACAUCCUCCGUCCCAAGACCCCCUCCAGCUCGGACAUCCGGUGUUCUAAGAGGCCCUCUAGCUCGGACAUCCUGUGUUCUAAGGUGGCUCCCAGCUCCGAGAUCCUGUGUUCUAAGGUCUCUUCCAGCUCCGAUAUCCUGUGUUCUAAGCUCUCUUCCAGCUCGGACAUUCUGUGUUCUAGGGUCCCUCCCAGCUCAGACAUUCUGUGUUCUAGGGUCCCUCCGAGCGCGGACCUUCUGCGCCCUAAGGAGCCUCCCAGCUCGGACAUUCGGUGCCUUAAGGUCCCUCCCAGCUCGGACAUUCUGUGCUCUAGGGUCCCUUCCAGCUCCGACACUUUGUGUUCUAGGGUCCCUUCGAGUUCUGACAUUCUGUGUCCCAAGGUGUCCCCCAGCUCAGACAGGAAGACUUCCAGGGUCCCCCCCAGGUCCGACACGGUGGCCCGCCCCACGGCCUGGCCCAGCUCGGACACUCGGUGUCCCACGGUGCCUCUGAGCUCGGACAGGCGGCACUCCAGGGUCCGCCCCAGCUCCACGUCCCUGUACUGCAAGGUGACUCCCAGCUCGGAGGUCCUGUACUCUAGGUUCCCCACCAGCUCUGACGUCCUGUGCAGGGACAGCCUGCGCCCCAGGCUCCCGCCCAGCCCCGACACGCGGCGCUUUAGGGCCCAGCCCAGCUCGGAGAUCCGGUGCUCCACGGUCCCUUCCAGCUCGGACGUUCUGUGCCCCAAGGUCCCCCCCAGCUCCGACAUCCUGUGCUCUAGGGUCCCCACGAGCUCGGACAUCCUGUGUUCUAGCGUCCCUUUCAGCUCAGAGAUCCUGCGCUCUAAGGUGUCCCCCAGCUCCGACAUCCUGCGCCUCCAAAGCCCUUCGGUGUUUCCCGGGGAUGUUCUAUGGGGGGGGGGGGUCCCUGAGGCUGGUGUUCUAGGGCCCCCUCCCAGGGAAGCGCCACAUUGUGGGGCCCUCCUGGCUUGGGCGGGGUGUUCUCGGCCCCCCAGCGCCGAGGUGCCGCGUUCUAGAGGCCCCGCCCCCGCGCCGGCAUCGUGGGUCCCCCGGUAACAAGCUGCGUUCUAGGCCGCCAGGGCCGCCGCGUUCUGGGCUCUCCCUCCCAGCCCCCAAGUUCUAGGUUUGAGCUUCUCUUGUCCCAGAGGGAUGGGCCCGGAUUCUAAGCCCCGCCCCCUCCCCCCGCGGGGCGGGCCCGGGUUCUAACCCUCACCCCCGCCGGGGCUGGCGAGGGGCCCCCCCCGGGCCCCGCGGGUGGUUCUGGGUUUGGGGCCUCCCGCGGGGCGGGCCCGGGUUCUAACCCUCCCCCCCGCCGGGGCUGGCGGGACCCCCGGCCCCCGUGGGCGGUUCUGGGUCUGGGGCCUCCCGCGGGGCGGGCCCGGGUUCUAACCCUCCCCCCCGCCGGGGCUGGCGGGACCCCCGGCCCCCGCGGGCGGUUCUGGGUCUGGGGCCUCCCGAGGGGCGGGGCCGGGUUCUAACCCUCCCCCCCGCCGGGGCUGGCGGGCCCCCCGGCCCCCGCGGGCGGUUCUGGGCCUGGGGCCUCCCGCGGGGCGGGUCUGGGGGUCAG
ensembl:lncRNA